rnacentral:rRNA from 1 species
UAGUCCACGCCGUAAACGAUGAAUACUAGGUGUAGGGGGUAUCGACCCCCUCUGUGCCGCAGCUAACGCAAUAAGUAUUCCGCCUGGGAGUACGGUCGCAAGAUUAAAACUCAAAGGAAUAGACGGGGACCCGCACAAGUGGUGGAGCAUGUGGUUUAAUUCGAAGAUACGCGAAGAACCUUACCUAGCCUUGACAUAUAUUAGAACACUUAGAGAUAGAGUGGUGCCUUCGGGAGCUUUUAUACAGGUGCUGCACGGCUGUCGUCAGCUCGUGUCGUGAGAUGUUGGGUUAAGUCCCGCAACGAGCGCAACCCUCGUCACUAGUUACUAACGGUUCGGCCGAGGACUCUAGUGAGACUGCCUGUUAUAAACCGGAGGAAGGCGGGGAUGACGUCAAGUCAGCAUGCCCCUUANACCCCGGGCUACACACGUGCUACAAUGGGCGAGACAAUGAGAUGCAACUCUGCGAAGAUUAGCUAAUCUAUAAACUCGUUCUAAGUUCGGAUUGUAGG